rnacentral:lncRNA from 1 species
UUGAAGGUUUUAAUGAAGGUUUUAAUGUCUUCCUGAUAGUGAAGUCACUUUUUUAAAUCCAAUUUUUAUUCUUUAACUGUUGUUUCAAUGUUUGAACAUUUUCAGAGUGGAUAUUUUGACAACGUUUUAUAACUUAAACAAUGGAACUAUUAGAAAGCAUGAGUCACGGUUAAUAUAUUUUGAAGGGCAGGAUAUAUGAUAACAUACAUACAGGUGCUGAAAGAAUAUAGUUACAUUAACUCUGUGCUUUGAAGAUAUGUAAAAAUAUAAGGACACUCGUGUCAAGAUGAUUAAGCACUGUUGUAUUUAUUCACUUUUUAAAAUUUAAUAUGGUAGUCUUAAUAUAACGAAUUCAAAGAAACGACUUGUGUUCCGUACACCCAUUACUCUUUAAAUGUAUCAAAUGUUAUAUAAACUCUAUCUAACUCUCUAUUUGGAUAGUUUGGUAUUAACCAGCUUUGAGUUUCUUCUUCAAAAGAACCCAAGGUUGGAAACUUAGAAAUAAAUUCUUUCUCUGCUUAUUCACUGAUUAGAAUCCUCCAAUUUAAGUAAAAUCUAGAUUACGUUCCUUAUCAUUGCUAAAAAAAAAUAAAUAAAAAUAAAUAAAAAGUUCUAUAUGUACCAUCCAUGAGAAUGAGCACUUGCAAUAUCUGUUAUUUUUAAAUUAUUUAACAUGACCUUGCAAACCAUUAGUCCUUGAAAGAAAUUCAAACCUGCAUCUUUGUCUACUGAGUUUACAGCUGUGACAGGAGUUUAGGAUUGGCUGGCUCGCUGGGUCAGAUGUCCUGACUUACAACACAGAAAUUCUACACCCACACCAAAGUAAUAUUUCACUGCUAUUGGUUAAUAGACAGUGGUACAGUCUUUUCGAAAGGACCAUAAAAUAGAGAAAUAGACAGCAUGCACUACUGAAAAAUUUAACUUUUAAGCCCUGCUUCCUGAAGGGGGACAUAAUACCAUCUGUAAUGUGCUUAAUCCUUCACGGUCUCACCAAGGUCAGAGACCAUUAACAUAGGAAGGAAGGAAAAAAAAGAGGGGAGAGACAUACACAUGGAAUAAAAAGGCACAAAGAGAGCUGGGUGGGGGAGAAAGGAAACGUGGCUUUAAACCCAAGGGCUUUUUGUUCGUGUGUUGCCAAUCAAUCAUGCCAGCUGGUGUGGUUAUAGGUUAGUGACUAUACCUAUACUAUAUUUUCACAAAAUCCUAAAAGAAUUUUAACCUCUAAGGGACUGGCAUAUUCUUACCAGAACAUACAUAUACAUAAACCUAUACAUAUGCAUAUAUAUGCACGUACACACACAUAUAUUUAUAUGGCCUUUAAUUGUGAAUUUAAGAAUUACUGGCAUGCUAAUAGUUCCCAUUCAAGUUGUUUCACACAGUGAAACUCUCAAGUCCGAGACAUUGUAGUAUCCCCUUACAGAACUCCUGUGGAAAGGGGAUAGAAUUCUCAGAUUUCAGUGUGUCACUGAAAUGACAUUCAUUGCUAGUUGUAUGUCAUUUUAGCACAAUAUUAUGUUGCCCCAAUUGGAUAUCACAGAUGACAAAAUUCAACUCCAGAGCACUGCUGCUCGCCUGGGAGAAUACUGGCUAGCAUGCUGGCUGUGCUCUUUGCUAACAUGGUACAGUCUCAUGAUGCUUCAGUUUUCAAAGAGCAUGUUAAAAUUGUCAGAGCAAUUGAUGUACACAGGUUGUAGAUGGUAUGCUGUUUAUAGCAAGCAUCCAUUUUUCAUUUCUCCUGUCCGUUGGGAUCUAACGUAAAUCAAAACAACUCAAAUGUUUUUAAUUUUAAUGUGGGGUCAGCAGCUGCUCCCCAGAACUCCAGUUGCCACCAAAGUGUGAUUUUCUUGAGCCUAGUCAGACUGACAGUGGACCGAGAUCUGGUUACACAUCAAGAUACUUACCGUACAUAUGCCCAUUAGCGAGCAGAGCAACAAAGAAAUCUGUUUACUUAAACGCACACUUUUGCCCAAGUCCAGCAGUUACAGUGCUUAAGUAACUGCCCCUACAGCGCUAUGAAUCAUGAUAGUGGAGAAAUGUAAUCAAUUCCUGACAAGACCUUUUGAUGUGCGCCAUUGUCAUUUGACAUAACAAAUGACCUAUUUAAGGAGUGUGGGGCUAAACUCAGCUGCUU